rnacentral:rRNA from 1 species
UACGAAGGGGGCUAGCGUUGCUCGGAUUUACUGGGCGUAAAGGGCGCGUAGGCGGACAGUUAAGUUGGGGGUGAAAGCCCGGGGCUCAACCUCGGAAUUGCCUUCAAUACUGGCUGUCUUGAGUGUGAGAGAGGUGUGUGGAACUCCGAGUGUAGAGGUGAAAUUCGUAGAUAUUCGGAAGAACACCAGUGGCGAAGGCGGCUCACUGGUCCGGUACUGACGCUGAGGUGCGAAAGCGUGGGGAGCAAACAGG